rnacentral:lncRNA from 1 species
CAUAUGCUUCAGGUUGAAAACUCUGGUUCUAUGAAGUCUUCUCGUCUUUAUGUCAGUGGACUCUAAUAGGGCUCUGUAGUCAUACUCUUUCUGCUUAUCUGGCCUCUGUUCACAGGAAAGUAUCCGGAAGAAAACCAGGAUACCUUGGAAGUAUUUAAGGAAUUCAUACAGCAUAAAGGAUUUCUCCAAGAAAAAAUCGGUGUGCCUGAACAGAGGGGUAAGAGGAUGCUCUGUUUAACUUCUCCUCACGGCCCCUUAUUUCCCCCAUGGUACAGGGAAUCUUGUGUAACCAUGUGUCUUCCUUUACAAGCAGGAUAUUUUUUGUGAUCUUAGUCAUUGAGCCAUCCAAGCUGCAGGUGCAGUCUGGGUCUUCAACCUGGACACUCUUCUAUUUGAUUUUUUUUCCUUGCUUUUACAGAUCGGUGUAUUCCCAUACAUGACAGUGGUAAGUGACCCUCUGAAGAAACCCUGAGAGAACUCAGAUUCCUCUGUUCCAUGGUGGAUGUUUUUAUCUGUUGUUGACCCAUCUCUCAACAUCCCACUCAGGAAGGAAUGUGCUUAGCCAGGAAGCAGUGACCACUCCAGGAGGAGUCCUCAAGUGGAAUUCUUGGAUACUUGGGAAUUCCAUCAUUCAUUUUCCUUGAGUUCUGCCUUUGCAGUGGUCUAUUUUCAUGCCUUAGGUACCCACAAAGCUGAUUAGAGAUCUAAAAUGUCAAGGAAGUUAGGAUACUUCUGUGGCCCAUGUAUUCUCAGGAUGAAAUUCCCAAAGGCUCAAUGAAUGGAAAAAUUUUAAUAGGCAUGUAUCUCCUAAGUAGCUACUCUCCGACAGCUAUUGCCGUGAUAGAGGGAGGGAUCUCUCAGUUGUGUAUAUCUCUCUGUCACAGCCCACCAGGACCACAAAUGCUGAGACAGACUUGCCAGUAGGACCUGACCAUGACCUUAGUGGACUGACUACUAUUCUUCCUGGACAACAUUUCUCUGAGCUGCAUUUCCCCAAUCUGUGUUCUACUCCUUAAAUUGUACCACCCUCUGGACUUCCUAAGCUCCUGAUUUACCUUCUAACCCUUGCUCUGAGACCCCUCUGAAUCCAAUAAAAAAAUUAGCAG